ACAGCGGCCCAGCGUCUCCGUCUCCCUUCCCAUCUCUCUACCUUUUCGGAGCUAGGGUUCGAGCCUGCGCCGCCGCCAGCCUCCGAGUCCGUCACCGCCACCGAGUCCGCACCGAUCAGAUCGACCCCGACUUGCUCUACGCCCUCCAAUACGUCCUCCCCAAAAUCGAUACUCGUACCUACGUCAUCGAGGACCCAGCCAGCGGCGGCGCCGACCUCCCGUUCAGGGCGGAUACCCAUGGUGAAGUCAUAAACGCCCCCGUACCCUCUCCAGCCCGGGAAAGAAGCAAGCGCCGGGUGGAGGAGGAGAACCUGUGGACAGACGUCUCCCCCAUCCCCUCCUCGGCCCGGGCAAGAGGCAAGCGCCGCAUGGAGGAGAACCCGUCAGCGGAAAUCCCGUGGUACGAAGCAUCGCCCUCGACUCCCGAGCGGCCGAAAUCGCCCACGCAGAGCGCCGCGCCGCUGCCUCCACCAGUGGACGGCCAAUCGGCCAUCCCUUCCGUCGGCGGCUCCCCAGCCCCAAUUUCCCUCCCCUAUUAUCCUCUAUCUCCCACUGCCCCACUCAACCCUCCACUCGCCAUCGAAUCCCAAAACCCUAGAGCCGGACUGCCGGAGGCCGGAACCCAGCCGCAGGCGCACGAAAACUUCUAACCGCCAACGUCUUGCGUCCUGCCCCUCCGCUGGAUUUCCCCUCUUCCUUUGUCACGCGCAUGGAUGUUGAGAUGGACCACGCGACCGGUCGUGUGAGACUAUGGCAAAGGGCAGGGGCGGAUUCCUGUGCCAGUGGUGACCAACACAAGUCGGUGUCAAGCUGCAAGAAAGGAUGACAAAGGCAAAACAAAUAUGCCAUGGAAACAAAACAAGGCACCUGACCGUUUUUUUCUUUUGAGAGGACACCUGAUCAUUUGUGAACCACGAUCUCAGCUUCAGUACUGCAUCCAAAGCUACACCGAAUCAUCCCAGCUUCAGUACUUUAGGCUGUACCUGUUGCAUCUGAUUUUACAGUUUUAUACUGCGCAUUCAGUUUGAGAAGAGUUUCACUUUCACAUUUGCUUUAUAAAUUUAAAUUGUAGUUUCAGUUUCAAAAGAGUUUCAGUAUAAGAAGAGCCUUAUUCAGUCCUAGAUUCAGUUUCAGACAAUAUUCAGUUUCAAGUAGUAUCAUGAUCAGUUAGUCAGUGGUUUCCUAAUGAUUUUCUAUUUUGGCUUCCAAUUUUUUCAGAUUAGUGUCAGUGCUCCGCGGCUUAAAGAGCAGCUAAAUUUCGUGGCUUAAGAACUAGACAGGUUAUUCUUUUGGGUUUUUCUUUGAUUGCUGCCAGUUGAACUUUCAGUCUUGUUUUGUCGGUCAGGAGGUUCCAAGAAGAGCAGGAGAGGAAGGCGGGGUGAUACUGUCAUUGUUCUUUGAAUUUAGCCUCUCACAUCAUUUAAAUUACAGUGCUGAGUUUAAGUUAUACUGUAGUUGUACAUGUGUUUGCAAGUGAUGCUCUUUUCAGAGCUGUAAUACUCCAUUGUCUUGUUUAGUUAGAAUUCGUUAACUGGUCUCUUGCAUGUGUAUCGAUCCUUCUUACAUGGCAUAUUUUUCUACAUGUGCAUACAUAUAUUAGCUUAGAUGGAUUGCAUCCAUCGAUUUUGGUCAAAAAACAAGCUUGACAGCCAGAUGGGUUCUAGAUCAGGACAAGUAUGCAUGGAGACCCGGCUAGGCCAAGUUUCCUUCAUACUCAUUUCAGCUUCUCAUUUCCCUUUGUUACAUAUUUCCUUUCAUAUUUGCUAUCUUAGAGUAUUGUUAAUAAUUACACUCACGUUUCUAUCCAUGUUGUCUUAAUUAUCUUGGUUUCUUAAUUAUUCAGAGAUAAAUUAAUCUAAUUUGCAAUGUUUGCCGUGGUGAUACAUAUACAGGUCAUGGGAAAGCACAAGGAUACUAAGAUGAAUUAGUAUGUGACCUUCAUUAACUCCUGAAUAUAUGGCUCUCAUGGUGGGUUCAUUAGUGAUAGUACAUCAACUUCAUUUGUCUCACGGAUGUCUGUGUAUAUGAUGUAUUUAACAGUGCUUGUGAGCCAUUUUGAUUAGAAGCAUUACAUUGUUCUUGUUCGCAUAUAUUAUUGAGUCAUGUCUCAAGGUAAUUGAGUUUUUGUUUUUCUUC